GGAAUAUUGGGCAAUGGGCGCAAGCCUGACCCAGCAACGCCGCGUGAAGGAAGAAGGCUUUCGGGUUGUAAACUUCUUUUGUCAGGGACGAAGCAAGUGACGGUACCUGACGAAUAAGCCACGGCUAACUCCGUGCCAGCAGCCGCGGUAAUACGGGGGAUGCAAGCGUUAUCCGGAUUUAUUGGGCGUAAAGCGUGUGUAGGCGGUUUGUUAAGUAUAAGAUUAAAGCCUGAGGCUCAACCUCAGUUCGUCUUAUAAACUGGCAGACUUGAGUAUGGUAGAGGCAAGUGGAAUUUCUAGUGUAGCGGUUAAAUGCGUAGAUAUUAGAAGGAACACCAGUGGCGAAGGCGGCUUGCUGGGCCAUUACUGACGCUGAGACACGAAAGCGUGGGGAGCAAAUAG
rnacentral:rRNA from 1 species